GAUGAACGCUAGCUACAGGCUUAACACAUGCAAGUCGAGGGGUAACGAGAGGGAAGCUUGCUUUCCUUGUCGACGACCGGCGCACGGGUGAGUAACGCGUAUCCAACCUGCCCCCAACUAGGGAAUAACCUUGCGAAAGUAAGACUAAUACCCUAUAAUUUCCUCAGAUGUCAUCUGACGAGGAAUAAAGAUUUAUCGGUUGUGGAUGGGGAUGCGUCUGAUUAGCUUGUUGGCGGGGUAACGGCCCACCAAGGCAACGAUCAGUAGGGGUUUUGAGAGGAAGGUCCCCCACAUUGGAACUGAGACACGGUCCAAACUCCUACGGGAGGCAGCCGUGAGGAAUAUUGGUCAAUGGGCGGAAGCCUGAACCAGCCAAGUAGCGUGCAGGAUGACGGCCCUAUGGGUUGUAAACUGCUUUUAUAAAGGAAUAAAGUUAGCCACGUGUGGUUAUUUGUAGGUACUGUAUGAAUAAGGACCGGCUAAUUCCGUGCCAGCCGCCGCAGUAA
rnacentral:rRNA from 1 species